rnacentral:rRNA from 1 species
UACGUAGGGACCAAGCGUUGUUCGGAUUUACUGGGCGUAAAGGGCGCGUAGGCGGCGCGGUAAGUCACUUGUGAAAUCUCUGAGCUUAACUCAGAACGGCCAAGUGAUACUGCAGUGCUAGAGUGUGGAAGGGGCAAUCGGAAUUCUUGGUGUAGCGGUGAAAUGCGUAGAUAUCAAGAGGAACACCUGAGGUGAAGACGGGUUGCUGGGCCAACACUGACGCUGAGGCGCGAAAGCCGGGGGAGCAAACGGG